GGGGGAAAGCUAAGUGGUAGAGCAUCUGCUUUGCAUGCAGAAGGUUGUAGGUUAAAUUCCUGGUCUGAAAUCCCCA